rnacentral:rRNA from 1 species
UAGAGUUUGAUCAUGGCUCAGAACAAACGCUGGCGGCGUGCCUAACACAUGCAAGUCGAGCGAUCCUUCGUUCAAUUUGAGAUGAGAGCUUGCUCAAAUCAAGAUGCGAACACUUUGGGAUAGCGGCGAACGGGUGAGUAAUGUGUGGGUAACCUACCCUAUAGUCUGGGAUAACCUGUGGAAACAUGGGCUAAUACCGGAUAAUGUCCCCCGAUGGCAUCAUCGGAGGAGCAAAGGAAUUUAUUUCGCUAUUGGAUGGACCCACAUUCUAUUAGCUAGUUGGCGGGGUAACGGCCCACCAAGGCUCUGAUGGAUAGCCGGUCUGAGAGGAUGAACGGCCACACUGGAACUGAGACACGGUCCAGACUCCUACGGGAGGCAGCAGUGAGGAAUUUUCCGCAAUGGGCGAAAGCCUGACGGAGCAACGCCGCGUGAGGGAUGAAGGCUUUCGGGUCGUAAACCUCUUUCAGCAGGGACGAAGCCGUAAGGUGACGGUACCUGCAGAAGAAGCCCCGGCCAACUACGUGCCAGCAGCCGCGGUAAUAC